AAAUGAAAAACAAAAAGCAGCCUUCGCCAGAGCAGAGGCAUUGGUAGGUGGACAAUAUUUGAACAGAGAAUUAUCAGUUUUUGCGAAGUUAGAUACAAAGAAGCCAAAAUGGAGUGCCUCUAGAAAUGUCAAAUAAGGCGGGGAGGAGGGGCGUCAACAGUUGAUUCAUUUCCGUGUGGAGAUGGUGGCGAGCAAGCAUCAUCAAAAUCCCAUUUAAUCAAUUUCCCACUUCUAAUCUGCGCAUUUUCAGAAGUUUCCUCUAUUGAACGCUGUUCUUUUGGGGCACAAAUGGGUGGUCUUAAAUGAGUUCAGGGUGGCUGUGUGCCUUUUUAAAAGGGUGGCUGAUUGGCUCUCGAAAAUGCUGUGGCUUGAAAGGAAAAGGUUUUAUGGAGAUGUGCUACUCGCACUCGACUGUACAAUCUUUGGAAAGAAAAGAAUCAAUCAGUCAUCAAAGAAAAAGCAGUCUUCUUUUUGGCUUUGAUGGUUUACAAACCACACAAAUUCUUCUGUAGUUAUAGGCUUUUUGAUGAUUAUUAACGAUUGGAAGACUCGUGUUUUAGUUCUUUGAGUAUGAUUCUCUCUACCUGACUCGUAUGUUGUUCUUAGGUUGUUUUUCGAUUCUUCGAUGAAUAUACAUCUUUUGUGCCAAAAUUUUGUGAAA